GAUGAACGCUAGCGGCAGGCUUAAUACAUGCAAGUCGUGGGGCAGCAGGUUUGUAGCAAUACAGAUGCUGGCGACCGGCAAACGGGUGCGGAACACGUACAGAACCUUCCUUUGAGCGGGGAAUAGCCCAGAGAAAUUUGGAUUAAUACCCCAUAGUAUAAUGAAGUGGCAUCACUUUAUUAUUAAAGAUUUAUCACUCGAAGAUGGCUGUGCGGCUGAUUAGGUAGUUGGCGGGGUAAAGGCCCACCAAGCCUGCGAUCAGUAACUGGUGUGAGAGCACGACCAGUCACACGGGCACUGAGACACGGGCCCGACUCCUACGGGAGGCAGCAGUAAGGAAUAUUGGUCAAUGGAGGCAACUCUGAACCAGCCAUGCCGCGUGGAGGAUGAAGGUCCUCUGGAUUGUAAACUUCUUUUAUAUGGGACGAAAAAAGGCUUUUCUAAGUCGUCUGACGGUACCAUAUGAAUAAGCACCGGCUAACUCCGUGCCAGCAGCCGCGGUAA
rnacentral:rRNA from 1 species